rnacentral:rRNA from 1 species
AUGUAUGAGGAUGUGGUUCAAUGGCGUUUUACGGGUUUUUAUGGUCACCCGAAUUGGAAUGAACGCCAUCUAUCUUGGAAUGAUAUUCGCAAUCUACAUAGUAAGGGUAACCACCCCUGGGUGGUUUUGGGGGAUUUUAAUGAAAUUUUGUAUCCUUCGGAAAAGGAGGGCGGUAUGGCAAGACCACUUGGUAUGAUGAGAGAGUUCCGUGAAUGCCUAAUGGAUUGUGGUCUCGACGAUUUAGGCUAUACAUGAGACCUUUUCACUUGGAGUAGAGGCGAAAUUCGUGAGCGUCUUGAUCGGGCGGUCUGUAAUUUAGCACGGGCAAAUAAAUUCCCACGAGCGGGAGUGACCAACGAAGAACAUGUUCAUUCUGACCAUCGUCCAAUCGUA